UCUUGAGGAGGUUAUUUCUUGCUCUCAUUUGCCUUCUCCUUACUGAAGGAUCUAGGCCCCAAAGCAUUGUGCUAUGAUAAGUUUUGGUGAUUAAUGAUAACUGGAUGUGCAGGACUAACUAUUUCCAUGAGUUGAUAUGUUAGGUUGAGUUCCGGCAUCAAGAUAAGGGUUGAUAGUGCAUUGGUUGAGGAGCAACAAGUUGAGGUUGUGAUUGAUGACAACAAGACAUUAUGUGUCGAUGGAUACUUGUUGAGAAGGUGUGAACAAAUAUGAACAUCAUGAGUUGAUGGAGAUCAAAAGCAUGGGCAUGAUGAUUUUGUGAUCAACAAGUAUAUGGUGUUGAAUGAAGUGAAUGAGAAAGUGAAUACACUAAACAUGUGGGAUACAAAGUGAUUUCAUGUGGCCAGAUGGUGAAGGGCAAGCAAUACUCAGCUACGAUGGACCAUGCAAGGGUGAAGGGCAAGCAAGGAGCUUGGCGUCGAAGGACCAAGGCAAUGGUGAAGGGCAAGUAAAGGCGUGGGGCUGAUGGACCAUCAGAGGCCAUAUGAAGCUAUGAGUGAUCCAUAUCAAUCAUAUGAAGAAUGCAAGAAGAUAAUCAGUGAAAUCAAAUGAUAUACUUCACAUGGUGAAGGACAUCACGUGCCUUGAAGAAAUGAAAAUGAAGGAUCAUCAUGUGUCAAUGAGAGUCAAAUGAUGUGGUGAGGAGUUAGAAAAUGGAAAUCAUGUGUUGAACGACAUCAAGUGUAUUGAUGGGAUGAAAUGGGUGGAGUCUAUAUGUUGAUGAACAUCAAGUGCCAUGAAGAAAUGAUAAUGAUGGACAUAAUAUGCAUAUGAGCAUCAAGCUAGAUCCAAGUGGAAUUGCGCAAGGCAAAGGUAUGAUAUGUAGUGCAUUUCAUUUUGUCAGUCUCGGUGUUUAGUGGAGAAAAGACUGGAUUGAUAAGAUAGAAUAUUUUACUAUUAAGAAGGGUCUUGAUUAUGCUUGAGUCUUUACUAGGUGUUUAAAAGCUCAAUCUUGCAUAUGCAUACUAGCCUUGGCAUGGAACUGGUAGUUUGCAAAACUUGCUUAGCAAAUGGUUGAUGGUAAUGGUUUGUGGUGCAUCUUGCAUUAACAUUAUGCUUUUAUCCAAUGUGUUUUGGGUCAAGCAUUCCAUUGGGAUGUGUAGUACUCUUAAUGAGCUUUCCAUAAAGUCCAAGAUCACCUAAUUUGGACAUCAGAGCUAAAAGUUAUAGCCGUUUUAUCGAGCCUCGGUUGUGCUGAAAAUGGACCCGCGGAUGAUCCGCCAUCGAUAUUGAUUUUAAGGCCAGACACAAACAUGUUGAUUCUAUUUUCAUGAUAGAAAUGAACUGCGGACAGUCUGAACUUUUUAGAGUGGACGGUCCAUGGGCAUAGAUUUUGAGGUUGAGAGCCUAGACAUGUCCAUGGCACGUCUAUGUGUAUUGGCACGAGGAAUGGCAGACGGUUUGCCCCUGUAAGGGCGGAUGGUCCGCCCACUCUGCAACAGUUGACUCCAAGAUGCAUUUAUUGAGAAUUUAG
rnacentral:lncRNA from 1 species